rnacentral:rRNA from 1 species
AUUGAACGCUGGCGGCAUGCUUUACACAUGCAAGUCGAACGGUAACAGGGUGCUUGCACCGCUGACGAGUGGCGAACGGGUGAGUAAUGCAUCGGAAUGUACCGUGUAAUGGGGGAUAGCUCGGCGAAAGCCGGAUUAAUACCGCAUACGCCCAGAGGGGGAAAGUGGGGGACCGAAAGGCCUCACGUUAUACGAGCAGCCGAUGUCUGAUUAGCUAGUUGGUGAGGUAAAGGCUCACCAAGGCGUCGAUCAGUAGCGGGUCUGAGAGGAUGAUCCGCCACACUGGAACUGAGACACGGCCCAGACUCCUACGGGAGGCAGCAGUGGGGAAUUUUGGACAAUGGGCGCAAGCCUGAUCCAGCCAUGCCGCGUGUCUGAAGAAGGCCUUCGGGUUGUAAAGGACUUUUGUCCGGGAGCAAAUCCUAGUGGUUAAUACCUACUGGGGCUGAGAGUACCGGAAGAAUAAGCACCGGCUAACUACGUG